rnacentral:lncRNA from 1 species
UGGGCAUCUUUGUACCCCUAAUUCUACUUCGGACACUUGUCCAUUUUUACCCCUCGUCUCACUCUUUUUCUUUCUUUUUUGAGGUUCCGGACACUUGCCCCUUUUUAUGUCCUUGUAUAUUUUUACAUAACCCAUGCCUCUUCUGCAUUGAAUCUUUUUAGAGAGAGAGAAUAAUAAUAUUCGGGACAGUGAGUGAUAAUAUUUUUAGCAAUUUUAAUGAAUGAUGAUGGAUAGUGUAGU